GUGCUCGCUUCGGCAGCACAUAUAUUAAAAAUUGAAACGAUACAGAGAAGAUGAGCAUGGCCCCUGUGCAAGGAUGAUACGCAAAUUCGUGAAGCAUUCCAUUAGAAA